GGCGGGCUGGGGGGGCGGAACAUGUCUCCCGCCGCAGGAAGAUGAGGCAGCGCCGGCGGCUGCGGGCGUAGCGGGCCACCGCGGGCCACCGCCGCGCGCCGCCGCCUCUGCUCCGGUCCCUUCCCGCGGGGCCUGCUCUGCGAGAAGCUCGAGAGGGGCCGGGCGACGCGAACGCGAGUGGGGAGGAGGAGGAAGGACGCGCGCCCCCGAGCCCUGCGCGCUCCCGCCGCCCACGCGCGACCCUCGGGGACGCGCCCGCCACCCUUUUGUCCCCGGGGUCCCCGAGGGCGGUGGGCAGCAGGGAGCCCCGGUGUGCGCGGUGCAUGCCCCCGCCCAGCAGGGCUGUCUCUAGGUCUGGGGAACCCACCCCGGUUCCCACGCUUACUGCCCUGGCCGGACGAUGAACCAGCCUCAGAGAAUAGCACCUGUGGGCUCUGACAAAGAGCUGAGUGAUCUCCUGGACUUCAGCAUGAUGUUUCCACUCCCUGUGGCCAACGGGAAGGGCCGGCCGGCCUCCCUGGCUGGAACCCAGUUCGCAGGCUCAGGACUUGAGGACCGACCCAGCUCAGGCUCCUGGGGCAGCAGUGAUCAGAACAGCUCUUCCUUCGAUCCCAGCCGGACGUACAGCGAAGGCGCCCACUUCAGUGAGUCCCACAGCAGUCUGCCUUCUUCCACCUUCCUAGGACCGGGGCUGGGAGGCAAGGGCAGUGAGCGGAGCGCCUAUGCCACCUUCGGGAGAGACACCAGUGUUGGUGCACUGAGUCAGGCUGGCUUCCUGCCAGGAGAACUGGGCCUCAGCAGCCCCGGGCCACUGUCCCCAUCCGGUGCCAAGAGCAGCUCCCAGUAUUACCCCUCAUACUCCGGCAACCCUCGGCGGAGAGCUGCAGACGGUGGCCUAGAUACACAGCCCAAGAAAGUCCGGAAGGUCCCGCCCGGUCUUCCCUCCUCUGUGUAUCCGCCCAACUCAGGUGACAGUUACAGCAGGGACGCCGUAGCCUACCCCUCCGCCAAGACCCCCAGCAGCGCUUACCCCUCCCCCUUCUACUUGGCAGAUGGCAGCCUGCACCCCUCGGCGGAGCUUUGGAGUCCCCCCGGCCAGGCGGGCUUCGGUCCCAUGUUAGGUGAUGGCUCGUCCCCUCUGCCCCUUGCCCCGGGCAGCAGCUCAGUGGGCAGCGGUGCCUUCGGGGGCCUCCAGCAGGAACGCAUGAGCUACCAGCUGCAUGGAUCUGAGGUGAACGGCACGCUCCCAGCUGUGUCCAGCUUCUCAGCCGCCUCUGGCACUUAUGGUGGAACUUCUAGCCACACGCCCCCUGUGAGCGGGGCCGACAGCCUCAUGGGUGCCCGAGGGACUACAGCCAGCAGCUCAGGGGACGCUCUUGGGAAGGCACUGGCCUCGAUCUACUCCCCAGAUCACUCCAGCAAUAAUUUCUCGCCCAGCCCCUCGACGCCUGUGGGCUCACCCCAGGGCCUGCCAGGGACAUCACAGUGGCCCCGGGCAGGAGCGCCCAGUGCCUUAUCUCCCAGCUACGAUGGGGGUCUCCAUGGCCUGAGCAAGAUGGAGGAUCGCUUGGAUGAGGCUAUCCAUGUCCUUCGCAGCCAUGCCGUGGGCACUGCCAGCGAUCUCCACGGACUUCUGCCUGGCCACGGGGCACUGGCCACAAGCUUCGCAGGCCCUGUGCCACUGGGCGGGCGGCAUGCGGGCCUGGUCAGUGGCAGCCACCCUGAGGAUGGACUCGCCAGCGGGGCCAGCCUCUUGCAUAACCAUGCCAGCCUCCCCAGCCAGCCAAGCUCCCUCCCUGACCUCUCGCAGAGGCCGGCUGACUCUUACAGUGGACUCGGGAGGGCGGGUGCCGCGGCAGGCGCCAGUGAGAUCAAGCGAGAGGAGAAAGACGAGGAGGAGAACGCGUCGGUGGCCGACACCGAGGAGGACAAGAAGGACCUGAAGGCCCCACGCACGCGCGCCAGCCCAGACGAGGACGAGGACGACCUUCUCCCCCCAGAGCAGAAGGCCGAGCGGGAGAAGGAGCGCCGGGUAGCCAAUAACGCCCGCGAGCGCCUGCGGGUCCGCGACAUCAAUGAGGCCUUUAAGGAGCUGGGCCGCAUGUGCCAGCUGCACCUCAGCAGCGAGAAGCCGCAGACCAAACUGCUCAUCCUGCACCAGGCCGUGGCCGUCAUCCUCAGCCUGGAGCAGCAGGUGCGAGCAGUACGGACGAGGUGCUGUCCCUGGAGGAGAAGGACCUGAGGGACCGGGAGAGACGCAUGGCCAAUAACGCACGAGAGCGGGUGCGCGUGCGGGACAUUAACGAGGCUUUCCGGGAGCUGGGCCGCAUGUGCCAGCUGCACCUCAAGUCGGAUAAGGCGCAGACCAAGCUGCUGAUUCUGCAGCAGGCCGUGCAGGUUAUCCUGGGCCUGGAGCAGCAGGUGCGAGAACGUAACCUGAACCCCAAAGCGGCCUGCUUGAAGCGGCGGGAGGAGGAGAAGGUGUCUGGCGUGGUCGGAGAUCCCCAGCUGGCGCUGUCGGCCGCCCACCCUGGCCUGGGUGAGGCCCACAACCCGCCCGGGCACCUGUAAGCCGUCCCAUGCGUCUCCGUGGGACCAGGGACCACUGCACUCUGCCCAGGGUGCAGCAGGACGGUCCUGGGUGAGGCGGGUCUCCAGCGAGGCAUGGAAGAAGGCUCAAGCUCAUCAUGGUGGCAGCGAGGCUCCAGGAACGCUUCAGGGCCUCGGGGUUCUGUGGCAGCCCUGUGUCCUGGCCCCAGUAACCAACCCGAGGGGCGCUUCCCCCUCGAUCAACCGAAACUGGAAACAAGCAGCAUGCUCGCUUUUCAGAAAGACAACAAGAUGCCUUAACUGUGGAAGAGCCGGGCCGCACCCUGGCGAGGGCGGCCGGGGACUGGCUUCUGGUUCAGAGCCGCCAGCACAUAGUGCCUAAGCGUAUUUUUUUAAGGAGAAUAAAAGAACAUUAGUUAUCAGAUUUUUUUUUUAAUGUAGACAAAACUUAGCAAGAACGAGGCCUUCCGUGUCUUAUUGUUAUUUUUUUUUUAGCUUUCUUUUGCCUAUGUUUUGUAAGCAACAAAUUUUUGUAUAAAAGUCUCCUGUCUGUUGCUGUUUCUAGAGCUCAGUGUCAUAUUUCAUGGUCUACGAGGUUAUUAAAGUAGCAUUGAAAAGA